rnacentral:RNase_MRP_RNA from 11 species
UGUGUCGUGGGGAAAGUCCCCGUGCCUGAGGGCAGCGAGUGUCACCAGUGGACUGGAGACCUCCACAGCAGCGAGCAGCGGCGAGGCUCUUGGGGCUGAGCGUGGCUUGCUUGGUGGGGAUUGUUGCAGCAGCAGAGUAAUGCCGGUAGCACCUGCGGGUGUGAACAGAACGGGGCUUAGUCUU